UGACAAUUUGACCUCAAAUCGGGUGGGACUACCCGCUGAACUUAAGCAUAUCAAUAAGCGGAGGAAAAGAAACUAACAAGGAUUCCCCUAGUAACGGCGAGUGAAGAGGGAAAAGCUCAAAUUUUGAAUCUGGUGUCUUUGACUCCCGAGUUGUAAUCUAGAGAAGUGUUUUCCGUGUCGGACCAUGCACAAGUUCCCUGGAACGGGGCGUCAUAGAGGGUGAGAAUCCCGUAUAUGGCAUGGACUGCCGAUGCUCUGUGAUACACUCUCAACGAGUCGAGUUGUUUGGGAAUGCAGCUCAAAAUGGGUGGUAAAUUCCAUCUAAAGCUAAAUAUUGGCGAGAGACCGAUAGCGAACAAGUACCGUGAGGGAAAGAUGAAAAGCACUUUGGAAAGAGAGUGAAACAGUACGUGAAAUUGUUGAAAGGGAAGCGUUUGAAGUCAGUCAUGUCUGGYGGGAUUCAACUUGGGCUUCUGCCCGGUGUACUUUCCGUCCGAUGGGUCAGCAUCAAUUUCGACCGAGGGAAAAAGAUGUGGGGAAUGUGGCUGUCUUCGGGCAGUGUUAUAGCCCCGCAUUGUAUGCCUCGGUUGGGAUUGAGGAACGCAGCGCGCCUAUAGGCCAGGGGCUACCCGCCUCUUGACACGCGCUUAGGAUGCUGGCAUAAUGGCUUUAAGCGACCCGUCUUGAA
rnacentral:rRNA from 1 species